UCCACCUGCCCCUCUUUCGGCGCUCCUUCCACUCAGCAUUCCAACAUGCUCAGAGUUUUCCUGUUUUAAAAAGUAAACCCUCCCCUGACCCCCACAUCACCAUCAGCUGCUGUUUUUCUCCCCCACUUCGGAGUCAAACUCCUUGAAAGAUGAGCUUAGGCUCAGAGCAUCACGCCCUCCAGCUCCUUCACUCCUCGGCCCGUCAUGUUUUUUAAUCGAACGUUUAUCGAGCUCUGUGUAUCAGGUGCUGAAUCCUCAGAACAGCAACCCAAAGAGUUCAACCCAGCAGGGAACAUCUCUCCCGGAGGAAGAAGGUGGUGAUGUUUCACCCGGCCAUCGUACACCCACAAGACAGCCCGCCCCUGCCCACCCCAAGGAGCAAUGACAGCAGCUGUUUACGCAGAUGGAACAGCCCUCACCACAGAGUGUGUCAUCCACCUGACCCUCGGGGCUGCUUGGGAAUCACACUGACUCUGGGUACCUAGGCUGGAAGAUCUGAUAAGACCCACAGCUGAUAGAACCCCCGCAGUUUUUGUGCAAAGCUUAUCUCUUUCAGCUUCACAACAGCCCUGGGGGCAGUGACCUUGACUGCAGGGUGGGCUGUCAGCCUGGAGCCUCAGGAAGAGCUGGUGUUUUUGUUCAAGAUUGAAGGCUGCCUGCUGCAGAAUGUCUUCUUGCUCAGAGGAGUUCCCCAGCCAGGGAUUGCGGAUUGAACCCAGGCCCACAGCAGUGAAAGAGCCAAGUCCUAACCACUGGAAUGGCAGGGAAUUCCCAGCAUUCUUCAUUGCAGAGAAGAUCACAGUUUGAUAACCUCAAGAAGCUCAUCAGGAGACCCCCUGAGGCCAUAUCAAAGGAACCAGAGAAGUUCACCAAGAGACCACCUGAGACCAGAUUAAAGGAAUGCAGGCCCUGCACACACCCUGCUCCUUCCCAGCAACUUCACCCUUGAACCAUUGCUAUAAAACUCCUCACCAAAUCCCCCUGGAUUGGGACACAGUUUUUGAGGCACGAGCCCACUGUGUCCCCCUUUGCCUGGCAAAGCAAUAAAGCUAUUCUUUUCUAC